ACGGAAGGCAGCAGUGGGGAAUAUUGCACAAUGGGGGAAACCCUGAUGCAGCGACGCCGCGUGAGUGAAGAAGUUAUUCGUAAUGUAAAGCUCUAUCAGCAGGGAAGAAAAAAGACGGUACCUGACUAAGAAGCACCGGCUAAAUACGUGCCAGCAGCCGCGGUAAUACGUAUGGUGCAAGCGUUAUCCGGAUUUACUGGGUGUAAAGGGAGCGCAGACGGCUGUGCAAGUCUGAAGUGAAAUGCGGGGGCUCAACCCCUGAACUGCUUUGGAAACUGUAUAGCUUGAGUACAGGAGAGGUAAGUGGAAUUCCUAGUGUAGCGGUGAAAUGCGUAGAUAUUAGGAGGAACACCAGUGGCGAAGGCGGCUUACUGGACUGUAACUGACGUUGAGGCUCGAAAGCGUGGGGAGCAAACAGGAUUAGAUACCCUGGUA
rnacentral:rRNA from 2 species